GAAUUCGAUUCAGGCCUAACACAUGCAAGUCGAGCGAUGAAGCACCUUCGGGUGUGAAUUAGCGGCGAACGGGUGAGGAACACGUGAGAAAUCUGCCUUCAACUCUGGGAUAACUCCGGGAAACCGGGGCUAAUACCGGAUAUGAGCCUCUUUCGCAUGAAGGGGGCUGGAAAGUUUUUCGGUUGAAGAUGAUCUCGCGGCCUAUCAGCUUGUUGGUGAGGUAACGGCUCACCAAGGCUACGACGGGUAUCCGGCCUGAGAGGGCGACCGGACACACUGGGACUGAGACACGGCCCAGACUCCUACGGGAGGCAGCAGUGGGGAAUAUUGGGCA
rnacentral:rRNA from 1 species